CAGUCGCCGCGGGAAUACGAAGGGUGCAAGCGUUAAUCGGAAUUACUGGGCGUAAAGCGUGCGUAAGCGGUUUGUUAAGUCUGCUGUGAAAUCCCCGGGCUCAACCUGGGAAUGGCAGUGGAUACUGGCAAGCUAGAGUGUGUCAGAGGAUGGUGGAAUUCCCGGUGUAGCGGUGAAAUGCGUAGAGAUCGGGAGGAACAUCAGUGGCGAAGGCGGCCAUCUGGGACAACACUGAUGCUGAGGCACGAAAGCGUGGGGAGCAAACAGGAUUAGAUACCCCCGUAGUCCCUGUCUCUUAUAC
rnacentral:rRNA from 1 species